CCUUCUGAUAUUGCUGAACCAUCAUGUCCCAUAUUGAUUUCAAUAUCUGCAAAUAAACUACUUUUCAACAUUAAUUUUUAAUGCAUUUUCAUUUACUGUCUAGCUGACAUUAAAAAGGGUCUUGCUGCAAAGAGAAAAAGGAUUGAAAGCGUUGCAAAAGCUUGCAACGAAACAAACAACAAAAUUAAACGUAUUUUGAGAACAAUACAACUAAAAAUGCAUGAUUGUUGGCUUUUUUGAAUAAGGAUAUUUCUAUCAUUUCUUUGUAUUCAUUGGUGCAAAUAAUUUCAAAAACUAUCUUGUACAUAUUGGUGUCUGUAGUGAACAAUAUGUUUACUUGAUUGUUCCUUAAGCAGGUAAGUUUCUUUGUUUUAUAACCUAAGUUUAACAGAAUUGAGGUAUAUUAUCUAGAAAGCCAAUGAAGAUGACCUCUUUUUGCCUUCCAGAUAAAAAUAGUCUUCCUGUAAAAUUAAUUUUUAUCCAUUUCUAGAAAUAUGGCAGCUGCAUAUAAGAUAAAUGUCUUCAACGUUUAGUCUGUAGAUCCUUAACAAUAUUAAGUUAUGUAGAAAGGGACAACCUUAUGUCGUAAAUAGGUUAUCUAUUUUAGUUAAAUUGUUUUCACUAUUCCUUUUAGAAAAUCAUUGUUGUACCAAAGUGGAGAGAGAGUUAAGUGAAGUAUUUCUUUUGGGAAAUCUUACGGGAUGAAUGGCUAUGAUAUUCUUGAACCUACUUAUGAGAACCCACAUGUUAUUUAGUUUGAGGAAAUGAAAAGUAAACUGCUGUUAGAGAAAAUUAUUGUUUCUGGGAAAUUUAUAGUGCAGUAAACUCUCCUUUGUUUUCAGCACAUAAAGAAUGUAAGAUAGCUGCUCUAGUAGUCAGUUAGGAAGGGAUCCUUUCAGAAUGACAGUAACUCAUUUCACCUUUUCCCAAAAAGAAGAUUUCAGCUGCCAUUACUCCCUUGCUACUUUAUAGUAUAAAUUAUGUGAAGUCAGUUUUGGUUUGAAUAGGAUUAAUUUUUCAUCUCUCUAUGACAUAUGACCGUGUUACUUAUUAUGUGUUACAGGCAGAAAUGUAGUUAUGGACGUUCUCUGAAGUUGCUGACUGUCCUUGAAUCACAGGUGAGCAGAAAGAUGAAGAAGAAAGAAGAAGGAGCUGAAUGCCCUUGAAGAAUACAUCACAGGUGAGCAGAAAGAUGAAGAAGAAAGAAGAAGGAGCCGAAUACCCUUGAAGAAUACAUCACAGGUGAGCAGAAAGAUGAAGAAGAGAGAAGAAGGAGAAGAACUAAUUGUUGGUAUCAGGCUUAGCUUUACAAUUAACCUAUUGUAUCAAUGUCUCAGGUAGUAAUGGUUCAUGCAGAAAUCCAGCAAAGAAGGAAGAGAGCAUGAACCCAGAGAGCGGGGCCCAUUAGUGGACUCAUGGACUAGGGGAAUAUAAUUGCCAUGCAGCAUUAGGGGUCCAACUGAGGUCAGUGUCAUAGGGAUUAAGAAGUUAAAGUCAGCCCAGAUGGCAUAUUUGUGCAAGAGUAACUUUAGGGUUGGAAUUUCCUGGGUUGGGGUGUAGCUGAGCACAUUGAUAGAGGGAGAGUUGGGCAGGGCAUAUAUGUUGGUGGAGGGGGGGCGGUUAUGAUGACUGGCUGUGGAAUUUCAGCUGGGACUGAGUUACCGGAGCACAUGGGGGUGGGCAUUGGGCAGUGAAAAGUGCUCCAUCCAUUGGGUGUUGGGUCCCUACAGAUUCCUGAGCUGUAGUACUGAAGUGAGUGACCUACAGUGACAGGGAGGUAGUGGCUGUGUAUGUUGGGAAGAUGGAGAAAUAGCUGAGUGGAGUGGUCAGGGGCUGGGACUCUGCAGCCACAUUGCUUGGGAUCCAACUCCAGUUUGACCAUUGCUAGCUUGGAAAUAUGGGCAAAUUAUUUAUCUCUGUGCCUCAGUUGCCUUAUCUAUGAAAGGAGACAUGGUAAGAGUACCUACCUCAGAGUUGUUUGAAGGAUUAAAGGGUUCUUAUGUAAUGGGUUUAUUUAAAAUUUUCAGGAUGCGAUCUCACCCAUGGUUGCUCUUUAUCGUUGCUAUCAUUGCUAUUAUUAUUAUUACGGGAGAUGUUGCAGCCAUUGGGAAUGACAAAAUCUAGGGGAUGACUGUGUGAGUGAGUGCCACAUAGAGGAGAGGAGAACACUGUUGUUGGAGAUUAGGUCAAGGUGCAGAAAGGCAAUCAUUGUUGGAAGGUUCAUCUAUGUGCAUACUGAAAUGACCAAGUGUUUAAAAUCUUAGUAAAAAAGAAUGUUUCUUAGGUAAGAAAGAUCUGUAUUAGAAAUUAACUAUCUGUGGUCAACAAAUUGUAGGAAGGGUCAUCAAAUACUCUUCAUUUGAAACCAAGAAUUAGGACAUACAUGUUGAAUAUAUAUAAGAAAGAAUAUUCUUUACUCCAUGACUGAUGAGAAAGAUUAUGUUGUUUUAGCAUAUGAGUGGUGAACACAACUGUUUAAAAUUGGUCAUAAAUGUUGUCUAAUAGUGUUCAGAAGUAUUGAUUUAAAGAGUAUCCAUUUAAAGCUAAUGCAGAAUUAUGUUUUGUAAGUAUUAAAAUUUAUCCGAUUUUAAUCACUUUUUAGUUUUGUGCUUCUAGAGAAUAUUUCAAGAGCAACAAAAGAGACGGCAACAAGAUGGGAAAGGAACUGAAAGAGAUUGAGCCGCCACAUGAGCAAUUCACAAAGAGUAUUGAGGACUUGGAAGAGUAUAAUGAAAGCCCUCUUUUUGGUGAAGAAAGUGGUGAAGAAAGUCAACUUAAAAAAUACAUCACCGUGUUCCAAAAUAAAAUUGUGUCGGAGACCAUAAGUACUGCAUAUUUAAUCUUAAAAACUCAGGAUUGAUGUAAGCACUGGAAUAUUUUAUUUGUAGAAAUGUAUAUUGCAAUUACUUAAAUUUCUUUUUUUGAGACAACUGCAGUAAGAGUUGGCACUUAUUCAGAUGUCUCUUUAACCACUGUUAUUCUGAUGGCUGAUGAAAAAACUUGAACCUAUGUUAUAUGAUACAAGCAUAACUUGAGCUACACUAAACCACAUGACAGUAUUUAGUUAAUUCUCGUAUAAAUUAGUGUAUCUCCUCUAUCAUUAGUUUGUUUGUUAAAUGCCAGACCUCGUUACUGUGAUCUGUUGAAUGAACCCUAGACAGUUCUGUGAGAAAGCAGCAAUUGCACAGUUAUAUACAUGGUCAGUUAAAUUUUAACAUUAAAGAUAAUUUAGUUUUA
rnacentral:lncRNA from 1 species